CAGCAGCCGCGGGAAUACGAAGGGUGCAAGCGUUAAUCGGAAUUACUGGGCGUAAAGCGUGCGUAGGCGGUUUGUUAAGUCUGCUGUGAAAUCCCCGGGCUCAACCUGGGAAUGGCAGUGGAUACUGGCAAGCUAGAGUGUGUCAGAGGAUGGUGGAAUUCCCGGUGUAGCGGUGAAAUGCGUAGAGAUCGGGAGGAACAUCAGUGGCGAAGGCGGCCAUCUGGGACAACACUGACGCUGAGGCACGAAAGCGUGGGGAGCAAACAGGAUUAGAUACCCCCGUAGUCCCUGUCUCUUAUAU
rnacentral:rRNA from 1 species